UACGUAGGGUGCGAGCGUUGUCCGGAAUUAUUGGGCGUAAAGAGCUCGUAGGCGGUCUGUCGCGUCGGUCGUGAAAACUUGGGGCUUAACCCUGAGCUUGCGGUCGAUACGGGCAUGACUGGAGUUCGGUAGGGGAGACUGGAAUUCCUGGUGUAGCGGUGAAAUGCGCAGAUAUCGUAAGGAAGACCAGUGGCGAAGGCGGGUCUCUGGACAGUUCCUGACGCUGAGGCACGAAGGUCAGGGGAGCAAACGGG
rnacentral:rRNA from 1 species